AACGAACGCUGGCGGCAGGCCUAACACAUGCAAGUCGAGCGAGGUAGCAAUACCUAGCGGCGGACGGGUGAGUAACGCGUGGGAACGUACCCUUUGCUACGGAAUAGCCCCGGGAAACUGGGAGUAAUACCGUAUGUGCCCUUCGGGGGAAAGAUUUAUCGGCAAAGGAUCGGCCCGCGUUGGAUUAGGUAGUUGGUGGGGUAAUGGCCUACCAAGCCGACGAUCCAUAGCUGGUUUGAGAGGAUGAUCAGCCACACUGGGACUGAGACACGGCCCAGACUCCUACGGGAGGCAGCAGUGGGGAAUCUUAGACAAUGGGCGCAAGCCUGAUCUAGCCAUGCCGCGUGAGUGAUGAAGGCCUUAGGGUUGUAAAGCUCUUUCAGAUGGGAAGAUAAUGACGGUACCAUCAGAAGAAGCCCCGGCUAACUCCGUGCCAGCAGCCGCGGUAAAGUCAC
rnacentral:rRNA from 1 species